rnacentral:rRNA from 1 species
GACGAACGCUGGCGGCGUGCUUAACACAUGCAAGUCGAGCGGAAAGGCCCUUCGGGGUACUCGAGCGGCGAACGGGUGAGUAACACGUGAGUAAUCUGCCCCAGGCUCUGGGAUAGCCACCGGAAACGGUGAUUAAUACCGGAUACGACAACCGAUUGCAUGAUCUGGUUGUGGAAAGUUUUUCGUCCUGGGAUGUGCUCGCGGCCUAUCAGCUUGUUGGUGAGGUAAUGGCUCACCAAGGCUUCGACGGGUAGCCGGCCUGAGAGGGUGACCUGCCAAACUGGGACUGAGACACGGCCCAGACUCCUACGGGAGGCAGCAGUGGGGAAUAUUGGACAAUGGGCGGAAGCCUGAUCCAGCAACGCCGCGUGAGGGAUGACGGCCUUCGGGUUGUAAACCUCUUUCAGCCCAGACGAAGCGCUAGUGACGGUAUGUGCAGAAGAAGGACCGGCCAACUACGUGCCAGCCGCCGCAGUAACAC